rnacentral:rRNA from 1 species
GUCUACAGCCAUACCACCCUGAACGUGCCUGAUCUUGUCUGAUCUCGGAAGCUAAGCAGGGUUGGGCCUGGUUAGUACUUGGAUGGGAGAUGGGGUUUUGCCAUGUUGGCCAGGCUGGUUUUGAAC